AUUGAACGCUGGCGGCAUGCCUUACACAUGCAAGUCGAACGGUAACAGGUUAAGCUGACGAGUUGCGAACGGGUGAGUAAUGUAUCGGAACGUGCCCAGUCGUGGGGGAUAACUGCUCGAAAGAUCAGCUAAUACCGCAUACGACCUGAGCGUGAAAGCGGGGGGUCGCAAGGCCUCGCGCGAUUGGAGCUGCCGAUAUCAGAUUAGGUAGUUGGUGAGGUAAAGGCUCACCAAGCCGACGAUCUGUAGCUGGUCUGAGAGGACGACCAGCCACACUGGGACUGAGACACGGCCCAGACUCCUACGGGAGGCAGCAGUGGGGAAUUUUGGACAAUGGGCGCAAGCCUGAUCCAGCCAUGCCGCGUGCGGGAAGAAGGCCUUCGGGUUGUAAACCGCUUUUGUCAGGGAAGAAAAGGUUCUGGCUAAUACCUGGGACUCAUGACGGUACCUGAAGAAUAAGCACCGGCUAACUACGUG
rnacentral:rRNA from 1 species